UACGUAGGUGACCAGCGUUGUCCGGAUUUACUGGGCGUAAAGAGCGCGCAGGCGGUCGUUCAAGUCGAGUGUGAAAGCCCCCGGCUCAACUGGGGAGGGUCACUCGAUACUGAUCGACUUGAAGGCAGGAGAGGGAAGCGGAAUCCCGGUGUAGUGGUGAAAUGCGUAGAUAUCGGGAGGAACACCAGUGGCGAAGGCGGCUUCCUGGCCUGUUCUUGACGCUGAGG
rnacentral:rRNA from 1 species